GACGAACGCUGGCGGCGUGCCUAAUACAUGCAAGUCGAGCGAAUCAAAGGGAGCUUGCUCCCUGAGAUUAGCGGCGGACGGGUGAGUAACACGUGGGCAACCUGCCUAUAAGACUGGGAUAACUUCGGGAAACCGGAGCUAAUACCGGAUAAUGUUUUUUGACUCAUGUCAAGAAACUGAAAGGUGGCUUCGGCUAUCACUUCUAGAUGGGCCCGGGGCGCAUUAGCUAGUUGGUGAGGUAACGGCUCACCAAGGCGACGAUGCGUAGCCGACCUGAGAGGGUGAUCGGCCACACUGGGACUGAGACACGGCCCAGACUCCUACGGGAGGCAGCAGUAGGGAAUCUUCCGCAAUGGACGAAAGUCUGACGGAGCAACGCCGCGUGAGUGAUGAAGGUUUUCGGAUCGUAAAACUCUGUUGUUAGGGAAGAACAAGUACCGUUCGAAUAGGGCGGUACCUUGACGGUACCUAACCAGAAAGCCACGGCUAACUACGUGCCAGCCGCGGCGGUAACAC
rnacentral:rRNA from 1 species